AUUUAUCAUUUUAAAGGUUUUCAAUCGAGUAGAGUUAGGGUAUAAUGUGAGUGAGAGAACGGCGGUACGGCGGAAAUUGCGAGACGAACACUUUUGAGGUUUAGAACUGGUUUUCGAGUGUCAGUGAGGGGUACUGAGAGAGCGAGUGCAAUGUGGCCAGAGAAUGGGAAUUUAGAGGUAGAGAAUGAGCGUCGGGAUGGAGAAUGAGAGAUACGCCGUGGUAGGAAGGUCAAAACAGGUAUGGGGAGCUAUGUUCUAUGGCUGUUUAAGUAUUUUACUUGUGUUCUAUUUUUGGUUUGGGAUUGUAUGGUUGUGAUGAUAGUGAGUUGAAUUGGAUGUUUCUAUAAUUCUGAAGUAUUUGUAAAAGGGUAUGGUGUGAUUGUUGUUUGUCCAGUAUUGUUGAUCUCAAACAGAAAAUGUUAAACUCUGGAACCGUUGGUUGUCUCUAAAGUAAUGUUAAUCUGUGAAAUGUUGAGUAUUGGUCUAAAACAAUAGGUAGUCUAAAUGGAGUAACUUGUGAUUGCGUAAUUACUUGGCAGACUUUGAAAUUAUGUGAGAUUCGGGAACAUUGUAUUGUUUGGAAUAUUUUAUUUUAAAUUGAAAAUGAACUUAUAAGCAAAGAAAUGUUUAUUAUAUCAAUCAAUGCUCGGGUUGGAUAUUUUUAUAAUGUGAUUGUGCUUUCCGUGUUUGAGCAUGGUUGAUAUGCAUUUACAAACGACUGGGCAUGUGUUUAGAGUUAAAUUAAAUUAUGAAUGGCUGUAUGAACUGAAUUGAGUUAAACUGAAACCUUAUUAGGCAGUUCAGAAACUUGAUAAUGUAGUGAUCACAUCGUUCUUGUUCUGUUUUACUCGCCUGUUAAUCAAUUAAAGGAAACAGAUCUGUUUUGGGGUAGUAGGCGAAAGCUGAAUGAAGUUUUAUAAUGAGAUAUUAGGGGCUGGUGGGUUAUAAUAGGUUGAGAGUAACUGGGCAUUAGACGUUGACGUGCCAAGUUGGUUGGACAUGCUACUUGUUACAUGAUACUCAUAUAUGACUGGAUGAUUUGAUUACUUGCGUUUUCUGGAAUGAAUUUGAGUAAUAGUAAGUUUAUCAGUGAUUACUAGGUGAGACUUUGAUGGAAAAAUGGUUUUAAGCUAAGGCCAGGUUAUGCUAUACGUAUAUACUGUUGAAUGAAUGCACUGAUCUUGCCAUUUGAAACUAAUCAGUAAGACAUGAUUAAUUGGUAAAUGUGCAUGUUCUAAUCAUCCUGAAAGGAAAAUAUGGUUGAACUAAAUAGGAUAGUUUGGUAAUCUGAUUGUGAAGAAUGGAAAACUGAAUGUAUAAGGUCCGUUUACGAAUGGUUAAUUAUGUAUGGAGAAUGUCUCUCUGUGAAUGUUUGCCAAUCACGUAUUGGAUGCCAGGUUGCAACUGAACACUGUAGGGUGUAUUUGAGCAUGGGUAGAAUGUGUAAUUCUGCCUUAGGAGCAGAUUGAUAAAGGGUGGAGACGUUAAUUUGAUUGAGUACCUUGCAUCAGUUUAAAUGAUGUUUUAAAGUGGAUGAAUGCAUAACUGACAAUGUGUAAUAUGUAAAGUGGUUGUGGUGGGCGUGAAUGUUAUUUACGUGCAGAUCUCAGUGUGUUUGAUGAUGUAAUGCAGAUUUAUGACGGGUGUGUUAUGAUGAACUUGUUUUGGUAUUGCAAGAGUUUGCAACAUCACGUAUGGGGAUGAUGGUUAUGAACCUUACCUUAAAUUGUGACUGUGAUACUAUGCUCUGGGUUUUGGUAAAGUAUUGUAAACUGUUAAAUGUGAUAUGUGGCUGGUUGUAGAUAUUGCAAAGGUUGUACAUGUUUUAGGUUAUGUUCAAGUGAUCUAAAUUAGUCAUAUUGUAUUAUAAAUGAUCAUAGAAGUGUUAGAUUGAUUUGUGUAGUUUAUUGAUUGGUUUAAUAUGUUGCUGUGUUGUCUAUUCAAAUGGUCGUCUUUAGUAUGUAUUGGGAUUUUAAAAAAGAAUUGUAAUUUUAAUGUAUUGGGUUUCAAACAAUUUUGUAAUUGUGUACAUUUGGAUUUUCCUAUUGAGUUUUUUAAAUAUUAAAUAAUACUGGUUUAUUGUAUAAUUAAAAUCAAUUUAUUAUAGAAAUCAUUCUUGGGUUUUCGAAAUUGUUAAGGUUAAGUGACUUCUAAAUUUGGAGCGUUACAUUUGGUAUUAGAGUUAGGUUUUUGAAAAAAAAUUUGGACCGUGAGGAGUGAGUUCGUCUAGUUUCUAAUGAGCACUCUAAUUGUUGUAGAGUUUUAGGUUGUGAAUGAUUGAUUGAGAUGUAAUUGAUUGUUUAUGUAGUUGGUUCCAUACUUGACAUGAAUUUUGACCUUGAAAUUCCUUGAGUCUUUUGGAAUGUGAGUAUCAUGUGACUUGGGCCAUGCAUAAAGUUGAAUUUCCAUAUACAUAUUUGUCAUGAACCUGCUAAGGCUGGAUGGAUUAGUUAGUUGGAUGAGUUGAGUAUCGGGAGCUGACUUGUAUUUGGUUGUUUAGAUGCUUUGAAAUCUGCGUUCUUGUUUGUUCCUGAUUCGUAAUUAUGGUAUUGUUAGUACAUCGUAUGCAUAUUCAGUUGAUAAAGUGUGUGUCAUAUCAUUGAUUCUAAUUCUAUAAUGUUUGACGCCUUUAAGUUUUGUAAAGAUGACAAUUGAUUUGAAUUUGAGUUCUGGAAUUUGGAAGUACAUACUGUAUUCUGUUUCAAUUGUUAAACAAUGUGGAUUCUGGUUACGUGUUUUGAAAUUACUUCCUGGCUGAUAGCUUAUGUGGCCAUCUGAAUUUAAUAUCCUGCCAUGCUGGAUUUACUCUGUUUCUAUUGAUGUGUGUAGUAGAUAUGGACAAAUUCGUGAUAUAUGUAUAUGUUCUAUUUUGAGAAAAGAGAACUUUGAGUGUUAGAAUGGGAUGUAGAUGGUUAAACUUGGUGGACUGUGAUACGUAAUAUAUGGUGUACUUGAGUGGAUGGUUUGGUUCUUUUAAGCUGUAACAUAGUUUUCUUAAGAACUCAGAAAUUGUCAUGAAUGCUGUUAUGUGAUACAUUGACUGAAGAAUGCUUGACGUAUGCUUUAACUGGUUUGAAUUCAAAGCUCCUUGAAACUGUGAUAGUCUAGGUUCUAUAUUAAUAUAAGGGUCUUUUAUGCACAUGUCACAAAAAAGUCAGAAUUUGACCGUCUAGUUGGGGCGGACUAUUUGAACUAAACCAAAAUUGAAUGAAGAACUGCAUGUUACAAAAUGUUGUGGGUAGAAUGGAAUAAGGAGUUAUAUAAUGUUCUGAUAUGGGGGUAAGCUUUGCAUGAGAUGUAGGUAUGUAGAACAGGAUAUUGAAAUCUGAAUGAACUUAGUAUUUGACCCUAAAUCCUAAAAUGGUAUAAUACAAUUGUUAAUGACUCUCUCGGAAAUUGUUUUGACCUUGGUAUGGAAAUCUGAUUUUAUUUCUGAAAACAGAUUGCUUUGAAAUGUUAUAAUGUAUGCGUAAUAUGCUUGAUAAGAUUGUAUAUUGAGUGUAUGCAGUCAUUAUGGUGAAAUGCUAGUAAUUCUCUAUGUCCUGUAAUUAGCUGGGAUGAUUCUGGUGAAAUAAAGGGAUUAUUAGCUGAAUAACAGAUAUGCUAUAGUUGCCAUUUCAUGUGAGUAUAAGCUGUUUUCCAUAACCAUGAGGCAGAAAAACUGGCGGUGAUGUGUGGUUUUGAUAGAGAACUCUGCACUAGAGAACCUUGAAGUUUGACUUAAAUACUGCACCCAAAAUCCGUUUGUUUUGAACCCAAUAUCUUUCAUUAAAACGCUGCUGUUUUGCACUAGGCUUUUAGGCUCUUUUCUGCAUCAAAUAAGUGUUGUUCUGCAUUGUUGGCUGGCUGUUUAAGCAUUGUAUUAUUGUUGUUUUUACACUGUUUUAAUUACUGUUUCUGGACUAGAAAGUCUUGCUGUUUGGAUUAAAAUUUCUGCACCAAAACAUUGCUGUUUUGGUUAAAUUGCUGCAGGGAAUUCUUUGCUGUUUAGAAUAAAAAUCUGUAGAAACUAGGUGCUGUUUUAGAAUAAGUAUCUGCAGAACAUUGGUGCGGUUUUAGAAUAUAAAUCUGCAGAAAAUUGGUGCUGUUUUAGAAAGAACUCUGCUGAAAAUUUUUUGCUGUAUAAGAUGGCUUUGGAUUCAUGUCUGUUUAAUAUUAGGAAAAGAGUAUAAUAUAUUUCAAAUAGAAGUAGGCUUAACUCUGGAACAAUAAUCUGAUUUAUGUUGUUCAAAACCUUUAUGCAUACUAGUGUGUGACUUAUGGAUGUCCGAAUUAUAAUUGGCAUUAUUUCAGCAAAAAUAUGAUUGAAUGUGUUAUGGUAUACGUGUUGGAUGAUGGAAUACUGUCUUGGUUUGCCUUGACAAAUUUUCUUUGAGUAUCAAUGGGUAUACUAAAAAAUUUGCAUUACAACAUACUAAAACAACACAUUAAAACACAACGCCACUGUUAGAUGGUAGAACUGAAAGUGAUUACAAAUUGGAAAUGCAAAACCAAAGUACAAAGAUUGAAUAUUGAAAAGCUAUAUGUUCCUUCGACACAAAGGACAAGUGUGAUUGAUGUCGAGCCAUUUUUUGAUGCAGUGGUGAUGAAAGAUAUGAGAACAUGGGUGGGGUAUGCGAAUUGCUCUUGAUCCAAUUGCAAUUUCCUCAAGACAUAUACUGCAGGAAUCUUCUGUUUUUUCUUCAAUUAUAAACUUUUCAAGAUUUUUCAAAGAAUUAUAGUUGUUUUGCACGGAAUCAAAGAUCAAAACAUUAUCUUGGUUUGAUCUUAAACUUCUAUUGUUAUUGUUUUGCAUGUUGCUGCCACCCAAGCUCAUGGAAUCAAAGAUAUAAACUUCACCAUCUUCUUCACCUGAUCUUAAAUUUCCACUAUGGGCGAUAUUGCGGUGAUCCUGAAUCACAAAUUCGAUGAUAAAGCCAUCAUCUUCAAUUGACCACUGCAUUGUCAUUCCUGUUACACAAAAAAGAUAGGAGAAAUCAAAACUUGAAAGAUCGAAUGGGGUAGUUUAUUAAGAAAAGAGUACACAAAAUCAUUUGAAAAAUCUAAUAACUUGUUUGAUGUAGGAGAGUUCCUCACUUUGAGAUCACCUUAUACUAUAGAGUUAACUUUUGUUUUGAGAGUUUGAAGCUUUUCUUUCUUUUUUCUCACAAUGAAAUGAAUGACUCAUGGAAGGUAGUAUAUAUAAUAAAAUUUAAUGAAAUAUAAUAAAUUAAAAGAUACAAUCUUGACAACUAUAGUCAUAUACAAAUUAACGUAAUUAAAUAAUAUAUUAUUAAAUUACAUUUAAGUUGGUUUCAUGUAUAGUCAUUAUUCAAAGUCAAAUCAUAAUAGAUAUAGUAAAUUGAAAAUGAUAUUAGUUAGUUAGAUAUUAAUUGGACUCUGAGUAAUGUAUCUUGAUUAUAAUUUUACAUUUAAAGUAUAAAAAAGGAAACAUUAAUAAUAGAAAAAUACAACCUUAUCUAUAUUUAAUUUGAUUAUCAUAUACAAAUUAUAGUAAUUAAGUAGUAUAUUAUUAAAUUGCAUUUAAGUUGGUUUCAUUAUUCAAAAUCAAAUCAAAAUAGUUAGACUAAGAAUUAAAAGAUAUUAGUUAAUUACAUAUUAAUUAGGCUCUAAGUAAUGUAUCUUGAUUAUAAUUUUACAUUUAAAAUAUAAAAAAAAGGAAACUUUAAAAAUAGAAAAAGUAAUCUUAUAUAUAUUUAAUGUUGGCUGGCUGUUUCGGCGUGUUGUAUUAUUGCUGUUUUUACAUUGUUUUUAUUACUGUUUAUGGACUAGAAAGUCUUGCUGAUUGGAUUACAAUUUCUGCACUAAAAGAUUUUUGUUUUGAUUAAAUUGCUGCAGGGAAUUCUUUGCUGUUUAGAAUAAAGAUCUGCGGAAACUUGGUGCUGUUUUAGAAUAAAUAUCUGCUGAAAAUUGGUGCUGCUUUAGAAAAUAAAUCUGCAGAAAAUUAGUGCUGUCUUAGAAAAAACUCUGCUGAAAAUUUUUUGUUGUAUGAGAUGGCUUUGGAUUCAUGUUUGUUUGAUAUCAGGAACAUUAGGGCAUGACAAAAACAACCGAUCUUAACUGUAUUAAAACUGAACUUACAUAAGUGUAAUUGUCAUCCACUUUUUUCUAA
rnacentral:lncRNA from 1 species